rnacentral:tRNA from 1 species
GGAGAGGUGGCAGAGUGGUCGAUUGCAACUCACUGCUAAUGAGUUGACCUGGGAAACUGGGUCCCUGGGUUCAAAUCCCAGCCUCUCCGCCA